UACAUGGAUUCAUGUCGCAUGUAUGUGAUCUAAUGUAGCCUCUAUAUAUAUGUUUAGAAAUUUACAGAUUUCAGUUGCAUCUCUGUGUGAAGCUAAUAAAGCAGUCAAUUCUGUUCUUUGGUAAAUGUAUUAUUCUAAUGACAUCUAUAUUAUAGAAAUCUGUGUUUCAGGGUGAAAACUAAAUAUACAUCGCCGGAUUUUGCUCUAUUUUGGGAACUCAUUCGCAUUUUGCCGUCAAUCUAUUUUAAAGUUUAACUUCUAUAGAGUCUUUCAGUAUUUUGUAAUUCCUAUUACAUAUUAAUUUAAGAUUAUGCCGAUAUUUAUACUGAUGACAGUCUUAGAUGCUGGAACAUAAAACAGCUGACGCGAACUAAAGCGAAACUCAGCCCCAUAGAAACUGCGCAAAAGUGCGCAGCUAUUAUGCGCCAGAACACUUGUCUUUGAUUUGGCCAAAAGCUGUUGUUUACACUGCAAGGACGGCAUAGAAAUUCGCUAAUCUGCAGAACAUAAACAGGCGUCAGACUAACGUGCGUAUGUUCUAGCGAUCAUAACGUACAUGGGCCUAUUUUGACAGCACAAGCCACCCGUUACAAGAGGGUUUUUAGGAUUGAGUGGCGCAUUAGAAAUAGAGGUCUCUACUCCAAGACAUCAUAACAAUAGCCACACUGAAAUGAGUAUCAGAGAUAAAGAGCUUAAGAUACAUUUCAAACCAGGGCACGUUGAGUUUGUUCAGGAAGUUGUUUGGAUUUUCCUGCCUCUUUGGAUCGUUUUUUCCAUUCACACAGACUGAGGAGAGAUGGUGUGCAGCUUCAUGACAUGUGAAGUUUACUUCCGAUGAAGAGCUUCUGGGACACUGACAGACAGCACGUCCCAGCAAGUUCAUCUGGAGUUCUUUUUUUAAAUGUAUUUAUUUAUUUAGUCAAACUUGCAUUCACUAAUGCUGGAGUAAGAUUUUAUAAGAAAAUGUUCGGUCCUGUUUAAUGUUGGUGCUAGUAGAAGUUUGAGAACUAAUGGCCUGAUUUCACAGACAGGGCGUAAACUUAGCCAGAUCAGAGUUCAGUUAGGACAUUUAAGUCAUUUUCCUUGACAUGCCAUAGAAAAAAAUCAUUACUGGUGUGCAUCUUGAGACAAAACAAAGGCACUGGUAUUUUUAAAGAUCAGUCAGUGCAAGUUUCUAUCAGUUGAAACAGCUCAGAAUUACAUUUUAGCCUCAGGCUGGUCUUAAGCCUUGUCUGUGAAACCAGGGGUACAACUAACCCACUUUGGUCAUGUUUUACAAUAAGGUCUCGUUUGUUGUACAUGCAUAGAUAAAUUUCUUUUCUUUUUUUUUUUUUUUUAAAUGUGUGUUGUUUGUGUGUUAGUAAUCCUAUAUUUUAUGGCGACCAAAUGACUCCACAAGUAUAGUAAUACCAGUAAAUUUUGACUGUGUGGACAUUUUUAGGUCUCCGAUGAGGAAACAGAUUUAGACAUCUUGAAGAUGGUGUUUUCCAUGAUGGUGAAAUUUGCAUUGUUCUCCAAACUCUUUCUAAUAAGUAAGUUGAAGUGUUGUAACUGUAUAGUGUUCAGUUUUUCUAGCGCAUCAGCAAAAAGCAUUUUAGUGUAUUUGUUUUAGAGAUUGAUUUGUCAAUAAAUGUAGAGGGUUUAUCA